ensembl:lncRNA LINC01725 long intergenic non-protein coding RNA 1725
CCCGGCCUGUGCGCAGUUCCCGUGCCCUAGGAGUUGGCGGCGGGGCCCAGCCGAGGUAUAAGUUCCACAGCUUCACCCUUGUCGGUGUGAUAUGGGCGUGAAAGAAGACAUAAAACAGGCUUCCCGAGUAGAACCUGCCACCCCGGGCUGGUGGGGACGCGGCACCAGGCCGGGCCGGGGGAAGCCGCUCGGACAGUGGUCCUUGGUGAAGCAGAGUUGCCAGCCAUCUAUGGAUCCUAACUAAAUUGGUCCUUGUAAUACUCGGUAUUAUUUGCCAAGAUAUUGAAAAACCUCUAAACAGUGAGAAGGUCUGCAUACACUGGGGAACUUCCGGUGACUGCUGGGAUGCUGGCAUUGGUCUUUUCUUUCCCUGGGGGCAAAAACUGACCUUGGAUUUUUUAUCUUUUGGGGGAAAAUAUCACACCUUUUACAAAUAACCAGGUUUUCUUUUCUUUCUUCUGAUUUGGGUUAUUUUGUGUUAUCAAACAGUCUUGGGCUGGCUUAAAAGUCAUUUAUCUGUCCAUUUAUAUGUUUAUAUACUUAAGUAUUUAUCUAAUCAUUCAUGUAAUAUUUCGAUGCCUCACAUGUGCUAGAUAUUGUGCAAGGUGCCUGGGAUGGUGAAUUGACUAAAGCAGAUGCUGCGUGUACUUUCACAGAACUUUAGGUCUAUCGUGUUGCAUUAAGUUGAGGAGAAAAUUAUACUAUUUAUUGUAUAGAGGGUUGUUCUUAUUUCCAUAAAAAAUGAUAAAAAUAUUUUUGCCAAAGAUAGUUGGUACAAGGAGCUUAUCUUUGUAUUCAUUAAUCUUGACGGUAAUCUACUAAUCACUUUGUUCAGUUCUUCACUGUGUGAUAGGCUUUUAGAGACAUUAGAUCAAUUCUGAAAGGUAGGAAAAAAAAGGAAAUCAUGGCAUAUUUGGAUUUUCAGAAGUUAUGUGGAAGGCUAGGAAUUAAUAUGGUAUAUUGAUUUCUCAGUAAUUUUACCUGAUUAGUAAAGAGAGUAUCAAUCAUUUUAUUGUAUAUGUUCUCUUAGAGCUGGAUAGCAAACAACAUCUUAGACCUGGAUAGGAAAGUACCACCUUUGAUCUGACUAGGAGAGUAUUAUCUUAGACUGAAUAGGACAAUUCAUAAGCAUUGAGGGAAAAUUAAGUGUUGUUAAUUAAAAUGCACACUGAUGCCUUUUAAUAUUGGACUUCCUCAAACACAUUUGAAUCUCGCAUAUCAAAUCAGAGCCAAGCAGAGGGCUCUGGUCUCGGUGGUAGCCUUAGCUUCUUAUGUGUGAGAUUUGGUGAGUACAAGUUGACUUAGGUCUGUGGUUUUACCAAAUGCAAAUUUUGUCUCGGAGUCUGAACUGUAGACAAGAGGAAGGUUCCACUGCCAAGAGAGUGGGGUGCAAAAGGAGGCCAAUUUUUGACCUCUCAUUUUAAAGCCACUCACCUCUGUUUUAUUGCUUUUUCAACACUGCGUGAAAGCAGGAAACUUUCAAAGUCCGGGUGAAGCAAGAGAAUGCUACCUUUCCAGGGACUAGGGUAGCUUUAAUUAAAAUUGGGUUUUAUUUUGGAAUGAUUUGCUUUGAAUUUGAACCAAAAAGAAGUGAAAGAGGAAGAGAGAAAAGUAGAGCAAUUGAUGGUCUCCCUAAUGGCAAAAAGAUCAAUUAAUUUACAACGAGAAAAAAACAGAACUGUAUUACAGAUUUACAAAAUGUUCAUUAUCUAUGGACUUUGGAUAUGACCCAUCAUUAGCCUAAUAUGCAAGGCAGAGAUCUGACAGUUCCAACCCUGAAUUACGGGACCAGUUGAUAAAUUAAAAAUCAUUUUAAAAUUUAAUAUUAAAAUUGAUAAUUGCUCUGUGGGAAAUAGAUUUUUCUGAACUUACACCCUUUUCCUGCACUGCUGAGCAAAUGCAAAGCGAUAAACUGCCCAUUUGUCACAAUGAUAGAUAGACAAAUCCUACUUUUACCCUUGUUCCUCAGUACUCAUACAUUUCAAUUAAGGAGAAUAAGUGCUACGAUUUGUAAUGUGUAUUCAUAUUGUCUUAUCUAGUUCUUUAGGGCUCAAAGAAUUCUCCUUAGAAAUAGAAAAAAAUGUUCCCCAACACACUCCAUAUAACUAUUGGGUUGUAUUAUUCAACCCUUCAAGGAACAUGGCAGGGGGGCUAGAGAGUUAUUGGCUAUUAAUAGUAUCUUAAAGAUGUGACAUAUAAAGUAGUAUCUGGAAAUAAUUGCCAAUCGUCUAAAUUGAUGGAACAGUUAGUUCCAUCAUGUUAGUCCUGCUGAAUUCUCCUCUACGUUGCUAAUGUUUGUUUACACUUUAAGUUUUUUGUGCAAUUGUCACUUGAGGUAUAUUAGAUUACUUUUUGCUGUUAUUCACUUACUCCCUUUGCUAUGGAACUUUGCAGAGAACUAGAGUAGGUGGGGUAUACUUCCCAUCUCAUUGAUGUUAGGCUUGGUUAUAUGACUUGCUUGAAGUCAUUGAAAUAUUAGGGCAUAUGAUGUGAAUAAAGACC